rnacentral:rRNA from 1 species
UCGAGCGGACAGAUGGGAGCUUGCUCCCUGAUGUUAGCGGCGGACGGGUGAGUAACACGUGGGUAACCUGCCUGUAAGACUGGGAUAACUCCGGGAAACCGGGGCUAAUACCGGAUGGUUGUUUGAACCGCAUGGUUCAGACAUAAAAGGUGGCUUCGGCUACCACUUACAGAUGGACCCGCGGCGCAUUAGCUAGUUGGUGAGGUAACGGCUCACCAAGGCGACGAUGCGUAGCCGACCUGAGAGGGUGAUCGGCCACACUGGGACUGAGACACGGCCCAGACUCCUACGGGAGGCAGCAGUAGGGAAUCUUCCGCAAUGGACGAAAGUCUGACGGAGCAACGCCGCGUGAGUGAUGAAGGUUUUCGGAUCGUAAAGCUCUGUUGUUAGGGAAGAACAAGUGCCGUUCAAAUAGGGCGGCACCUUGACGGUACCUAACCAGAAAGCCACGGCUAACUACGUGCCAGCAGCCGCGGUAAUACGUAGGUGGCAAGCGUUGUCCGGAAUUAUUGGGCGUAAAGGGCUCGCAGGCGGUUUCUUAAGUCUGAUGUGAAAGCCCCCGGCUCAACCGGGGAGGGUCAUUGGAAACUGGGGAACUUGAGUGCAGAAGAGGAGAGUGGAAUUCCACGUGUAGCGGUGAAAUGCGUAGAGAUGUGGAGGAACACCAGUGGCGAAGGCGACUCUCUGGUCUGUAACUGACGCUGAGGAGCGAAAGCGUGGGGAGCGAACAGGAUUAGAUACCCUGGUAGUCCACGCCGUAAACGAUGAGUGCUAAGUGUUAGGGGGUUUCCGCCCCUUAGUGCUGCAGCUAACGCAUUAAGCACUCCGCCUGGGGAGUACGGUCGCAAGACUGAAACUCAAAGGAAUUGACGGGGGCCCGCACAAGCGGUGGAGCAUGUGGUU